rnacentral:rRNA from 1 species
GAUGAACGCUGGCGGCGUGCCUAAUACAUGCAAGUCGAGCGAACGGACGAGAAGCUUGCUUCUCUGAUGUUAGCGGCGGACGGGUGGGUAACACGUGGAUAACCUACCUAUAAGACUGGGAUAACUUCGGGAAACCGGAGCUAAUACCGGAUAAUAUUUUGAACCGCAUGGUUCAAAAGUGAAAGACGGUCUUGCUGUCACUUAUAGAUGGAUCCGCGCUGCAUUAGCUAGUUGGUAAGGUAACGGCUUACCAAGGCAACGAUGCAUAGCCGACCUGAGAGGGUGAUCGGCCACCCUGGAACUGAGACACGGUCCAGACUCCUACGGGAGGCCGCAGUAGGGAAUCUUCCGCAAUGGGCGAAAGCCUGACGGAGCAACGCCGCGUGAGUGAUGAAGGUCUUCGGAUCGUAAAACUCUGUUAUUAGGGAAGAACAUAUGUGUAAGUAACUGUGCACAUCUUGACGGUACCUAAUCAGAAAGCCACGGCUAACUACGUG